UACAGAACUGUGAGCCAAUUAAACCUCCUUUCUUUAUAAAUUACCCAAUCUUCCAUAUUACUUUAUAGCAGUGGGAGAAUAAACUAAUACAGAAAUUGGUACCAGGAGUUGGAUAUUGCUGUAAAGAUACCUACAAAUGUGGAAGCAGCUUUGGAAUAGGGUAAUGGGCAGAGGCUGGAAGAGCAUAGAGGACUCAGAAGGUGACAGGAAGAUGAGGGAAAUUUUGGAACUUCUAGAGAUUUGUUGAAUGGUUGUAAUCAUAAUGUUAAUAGUCAGUGAAGGCCAGGCUAAGGAGGUCUCAGAUGGAGAUGAGAAACUUAUUGGGAACUAGAGCAAAGGUCACAUUUGGCAAAGAGCUUCAUUCGAUUAUGCCCGGGCUCUACGGAUCUGUGAAACUUGGAACCUGAGAGUAAUAAUGUAGAGCAUGAGUCCCCGAACAAUGAGCCACAGAUAAGUAUCAGUCUGUGGCCUGUUAAGAAACAGGCUACACAGUAGGAGGUAAGCAGCAGGCAAGCAAGUGAAGCUUUACCUGUAUUUACAGCCACUUCCCAUUCUUCACAUUACUGCCUGAGCUGGGCCUCCUGUCAGAUCAGCAGUGGCAUUCAAUUCUGACAGGAGCAUGAACCCUAUUGUGAGCUGUGCCUAUGAGGGAUCUAGGUUGUGUGUUCCUUAUGAGAAUCUAAUGCCUGAUGAUCUGUCACUGUCUCCCAUUGCCCAUGGAUGGGACUAUCUAGCUGCAAGAAAAUAAGUUCAGGGAUCCCACUGAUUCUACGUUAUGAUCUCUGUCACCUGUGCAUGCAAUGAGCUGUCCACUGUAUCUUCAGUCAAGCCACAGAUAAAAAUGUUAACUGAAGCACAAGUUCAAAGUCUGAGGCACAAGUCCUGCUCAUCACCCAAUGUGAGGAAGAAAGGAAUGGCUUAUAGGAGUGUACACCUAUGCCCUUUGAAAAACGGCAGACUAAGUCAUUUUUAAUCACUUCACUUUAACCCUCUGGGUCACCACAUUUACCUGAAGUGCACUUAAAGUUGUAGAAUCUAAGACCAUUUGAAAAUUGUCAUUGGCAUUAGUUCUCGUUUCUUUUUUUAAAUAUAGACUAAAUCACAAUUCAAACUUGUGAACUCUAUUAAUAUAUCUGAGCAGUAGAAUUAAUAAUUUUCAGUUAAUUUUUAAACUCUCUGUUCUAGGUACUAAGUCACAGCCUGAAGAAGUUCAUGGUCUAGUGAAACACACAAAUAUAUAGAUAGAUCAUCAGCUGUAUGUUUUCAAGUACUAAAACAGAGGUAUUCAUGACUAUGUCCAAAGGGUCAUAACCAAAUUCCUACCCACAUAAUUAAAAGUAUUUUAGAGCUGGCAAAUAUUAUAUAGACUGUCAAAUCCAAUCUUUUAAUUAUAUCCAGAAACUGGCUCAGAAAAGGGAACCGGCUUGCCCAAGUUCACAUAGCUAGCUGACAGACAAGAACUCAGAUGUCUGAGUAUCUAUGGAAAUGUCCUUCCCCUACACUCCCCUUGACAAUGUCCUCCUGUACCAAUAAAUAUGUGCAAUUGUUUUUAUAUAAUGGUGGAAUAUCCUAAGAGUCAUCCUUCUGAGGAAUCUGAUAAUCUAGGAUUGAAGGUAUAGAUGAAGAAUAAAUAAGAAACGUGUAUUCUAUUUAGUCUUUAUCCCAGAAUACAUCUGUGGAAUUAAACGUACAUGCUCAUGCACAAUUCAAUUCCCUCCUAUUCCAAUUUCAGCUCUCAUUAGUUGGUUUUACCCCCCUCCUCUGUGGGGUACAGGGAAAUACAAUAAUGAUACCUUAUUAAUUAAGGAUUUAUGCUCAUUAGUUUUUAAUUAAUUCAUUCUACAAAUAUUUAUUGACUUUCUACUACGUGAAAGGUCCUUUUGAAACGAGAAAAUUUCCCUUGUACCCCUCAUGGGCCAUGCAAUGGGGGUGUGUCUCGCUUUUUCUGUGCUCCACUGCUCGAACCUCUAAGGGAACAUACAGACGGGCAGGUUGUGGGGCUCUGAUGCCACGACAGUGUCUAGAGGUAAAUGUUUACACUUGAAGCCCCAGUGGGCAUGGGUUACAGGGUGCUCUCUUAGUUCAGUGGUCCAUAGGCAGCUUGUGUUAACCAGCUCAGUUAGACCCUCUACAUUGUCACUAGGACAGAGGGCUUUCUGCAUCCUGGAUUCUUGCCUUGGUGUUCAGAAGAAUCAUAUCACACCUGGGAUUGGAGAAUAAGUUCAAGGUUUUAUUGAGUGGACGUGGCUCUCAGCAG
ensembl:lncRNA